rnacentral:tRNA from 2 species
GGAGACGUCGCAUAGUCCGGCCUAGUGCGCGGUCCUGCUAAGACCGUGAGGGUGUUAAAGCCCUCCGUGGGUUCAAAUCCCACCGUCUCCGCCA